GGGUGAGUCACACGUGGGCCCCCUGCCUGUAACAGUGGUAUCACUUCGGGAAACCGAAGCUUAUACCGGAUAGGAUCUUCUCCUUCAUGGGAGAUGAUUGAAAGAUGGUUUCGGCUAUCACUUACAGAUGGGCCCGCGGUGCAUUAGCUAGUUGGUGAGGUAACGGCUCACCAAGGCAACUAUGCAUAGCCGACCUGAGAGGGUGAUCGGCCACACUGGGACUGAGACACGGCCCACACUCCUACGGGAGGCAGCAGUAGGGAAUCUUCCGCAAUGGACAAAAGUCUGACAGAGCAACCCCGCGUGAGUGAUGAAGGUUUUCGGGUCGUAAAUCUCUGGUGUUAGGGAAAAACAAGUGCGAGAGUAACUGCUCG
rnacentral:rRNA from 3 species